rnacentral:lncRNA from 1 species
AUUAUCAAUCACAUCUCCACUUACAUUGCCAAUCACAUCUUCACUUACAUUGCCACUUAUGUUGUCAACAUUUAACAUAUUAAGAUAACCAUUCAUGUUGUUAUUUGUUUCAUGCACUGUUUUUUCAUUUUUUUGAUCCUCUGUUUUAUUAUCACUGUUUGUUUCAACUUUUCUAUUUUUUUUUUUUAUAUAAUUCAUAGUAGCACCAAACAUUGUUUCUUCCACUACCAAAGAGGGCUUUUUAUUAUGAUUGUACACGAUCUCUUCAUCUUUAAUAAUAUCAUAUCCAUACAAAUCUUCAUCAAAAUCUUUUUCACAAUCUUUUUCACAAUCUUCUUCACAAUCUUCUUCACAAUCUUCUUCACAAUCUUCUUCAACAGGUAUAUUUUCAUUAUUUAUUUUUUUUUGUGAGCAGUUAUAUCUUAAUGGAUAGUGGUCUUUACUCUCGUGCUGUUGGUACAUUCGGUUGUCUUUUGCUUCUCCACAAUUAUAUAAGCUGUAUCUAUUAUUAACCUUACAGUUGUUACUAUUACAACUGCUAUUGACGUUGGUACUAAUGUUGACAUUACUGACAGUCCCUAUGUUAGUGUGUACUACCAUAUGUUCUCCAACAGUCAUAAAANNNNNNNNNNAUAUAUAUAUAUAUAUAUAUGUACAUAUAUAUAUGUAUAUAUGUGUAUAAUAUUAUAUUUUUACUUUUAUACUUUUGCACAGGAUGUUUUAUACUAUCUUUACAAACACCAUCCAGUCCAAACGAAUUGACAAUCACACUUGAAUUAUUUUCUGAAUGAAGUAUUACUGCAUCGGCUGGGAACUCUUCAUCUCGAUAAAUUCUAAUUAUAUUACCUACUUUAAUAUCUUUAGUCAUAACCUUAAAAACAAAAUUGAGACAGUAGUAGGAAUAGUAAUAGCGAUUAUAGUUGUAGUAAUACAUAUUAAACAAAUUUAGCAAAAUGAAUAUUAGUUUAUGAUCUUUUACAAUAAUUUUAUCUUCUUUUUUUUUUCACAUUUGUGCUAUGUAUGUAUAUAUAUAUUAUACGUAUGUUUUUUUUUUUACUUUUUCAAAAACGUAAUUUUCUGGAACUAUCCGAGUGUAAUUUUGUGAGUUCGCAUUUUUUGCUUCUUGGUAAUGUUUAAUUUCAAAGAGCGAUUCGAUUAUAAUUAAAAUGACUAUGUUUAUACCUAAAGAAAUCAUUGAAUCCAAGAAAACAUAAUUUGACGUUGAUUCAACUCGCAAUCCUGAAAAUAUAUACACAGAGAUAAAUACGGUAUACACAGCAAUAGCAUCGACCGACAUGAGUCUUCUAAUAAAGUUAUAAAACUGCAAAAAUAAUGCA